UGACUACAAUCAGAUCACAUUAAACCAAACAUCCUUAGUACCAGUCCUCGGCACUCCAGUGACACUCAACGUUUAUGGAAAGAAUGAAAUUAUUCCAAUGCCUGGCUCAUAGAAAACAUGAAGCAGAUGUGUGUCAAGUGAAUGAAGAGGGAACAAAUUAAUAGCAAUGCCAGAUUGCAGAACCUUUCUUGGAUCACUGAAGUUUUUAGAUCUUUUUACAUAGAAAUUACUUUCAACCUGAAGAAGUGCAAAUAUGUAAGCGCGUAUGUACAAGAAUAUUAAGAGCAGCAGUUGAUUGAUGUUAGUGUUUUAUAACGACAAAAAUAGAAAUAAAUGGGCCCAUCACUACGAGAAUGGGUGACUAAAUUUUGACACAGCUGCACCGCAGUAAGCAGGCACUGAAGGGAAGAAAUGGCUGUAUCAUUUGACUUGGAAGGAUUGCCGGGAGAUAUUCCCGAGAAAAGCUGAUGUUUGAACAUGGAGAAAAGAGUGGACGGAAUCCCCGUCAUGGUUAACAUGGAUUUUCUGUGCAUAUAUAUGGAGCGAGUGGUGAUGCAAGUUGUGAGAGGAAUGUAGAUAGAAGAGAAAAAGUAAAA